CCUACGGGAGGCAGCAGUGGGGAAUCUUAGACAAUGGGCGCAAGCCUGAUCUAGCCAUGCCGCGUGAGUGAUGAAGGUCUUAGGAUCGUAAAGCUCUUUCGCCAGAGAUGAUAAUGACAGUAUCUGGUAAAGAAACCCCGGCUAACUCCGUGCCAGCAGCCGCGGUAAUACGGAGGGGGUUAGCGUUGUUCGGAAUUACUGGGCGUAAAGCGUACGUAGGCGGAUUGGAAAGUAGGGGGUGAAAUCCCAGGGCUCAACCCUGGAACUGCCUCCUAAACUGCCAGUCUAGAGUUCGAGAGAGGUGAGUGGAAUUCCAAGUGUAGAGGUGAAAUUCGUAGAUAUUUGGAGGAACACCAGUGGCGAAGGCGGCUCACUGGCUCGAUACUGACGCUGAGGUACGAAAGUGUGGGGAGCAAACAGGAUUAGAUACCCCUGGUAGUCCACACCGUAAACCGAUGAAUGCCAGUCGUCGGGUAGCUUGCAACUCGGUGACACACCUAACGGAUAAGCAUCCGCCU
rnacentral:rRNA from 1 species